GUGAGUCAUCGAAUCUUUGAACGCACAUUGCGCCUUUUGGUAUUCCGAGAGGCACGUCUGUUUGAGCGUCAGCAAAACCCUCCGGUCCCCGGUUUAUUUCGGGGGCACGGGCGUGCUGGCGCGGGGACUGACCGCUGGCGCUUCGGUGCCGGUAGGUCUUCCCCCGCUUAAAGGUGUGGAAGCUUGCGGGGUGUGCCCCGGAUCGCGACGACUCGUAAGCACUUACUGUCGAAUGCAUCCGCGGAAGCCCCCGCCUUGUAACCUUGGUCAAUUCAUUUUGGCCUUGAACCCUUGACCUCA
rnacentral:misc_RNA from 1 species